rnacentral:lncRNA from 1 species
UAUCCCCUCCCCUGCGUCCCCCUGCGCCCACCGCCCUCACUGUGUCGUCGCGAGGCUGCAGUUCGAAGAGUCUCCUUCCCGAAUUCAGAUUCACACCCUGCUGAACAUCUCUACACACCUAACCAGGAAUUGGGACCCAGCAUCCAGAUAAGGGUUCGUUUUUCUCUGGUGCAGCUUAGGGCUGUGUGCUCAGAACACCACGGGCAGGUGAACAUGGCAGAGACAUUGGAGUUCAACGACAUCUUCCAGGAGGUGAAAGGGUCCAUGAAUGAUGGGAGGCUUCGAUUGAGCCGUCAGGGUAUCAUCUUUAAGAACAGCAAGACGGGCAAAGUGGACAACAUCCAGGCCGGGGA